rnacentral:tRNA from 1 species
GGAGAGGUCGCAUAGUUGGUCUAGUGCGGCGGUCUUGAAAACCGCUAGGGCCGCAAGGUCCUCGCUAGUUCGAAUCUCGCCCUCUCCGCCA